AGAGUUUGAUCAUGGYUCAGAAUCAACGCUGGCGGCGUGCCUAACACAUGCAAGUCGNACGAGAAAGGGGAGCAAUCCAUGAGUAAAGUGGCGCACGGGUGAGUAACACGUGACUAACCUACCCUCGAGUGGGGAAUAACCUGGGGAAACCNGGGCUAAUACCGCAUAACACCUACGGGUCAAAGGAGCAAUKCGCUUGAGGAGGGGGUCGCGGCAGAUUAGUUAGUUGGCGGGGUAAUGGCCCACCAAGACGAUGAUCUGUAUCCGGCCUGAGAGGGCGCACGGACACACUGGAACUGAAACACGGUCCAGACUCCUACGGGAGGCAGCAGUGGGGAAUUUUGCGCAAUGGGGGAAACCCUGACGCAGCAACGCCGCGUGGAGGAUGAAGUCCCUUGGGNCGUAAACUCCUUUCGACCGGGACGAUUAUGACGGUACCGGAAGAAGAAGCCCCGGCUAACUUCGUGCCAGCCGCCG
rnacentral:rRNA from 1 species